rnacentral:rRNA from 1 species
UACGUAGGGUGCGAGCGUUAAUCGGAAUUACUGGGCGUAAAGCGUGCGCAGGCGGUUUUGUAAGCCAGAUGUGAAAGCCCCGGGCUCAACCUGGGAAUGGCAUUUGGGACUGCAAGGCUGGAGUUUGGCAGAGGAGACUGGAAUUCCUGGUGUAGCAGUGAAAUGCGUAGAUAUCAGGAGGAAUACCGAGUGGCGAAGGCAGGUCUCUGGGCUAUAACUGACGCUCAUGGACACGAAAGGCGUGGGGAGCAAAC